GUCGCCGUGGCGGAACAGGGAGACGCACCGCGCUUAGAACGCGGCGGGGUAACCCCGUGGGGGUUCGACUCCCCCCGGCGACA
rnacentral:tRNA from 1 species